ACUAUUUGGACUUGAGACUCUGGACCAAGGAGAUGCCGUCAGACUAGAGGGUUGACUGUUAUCAGAGGACGUAUGAGAUGUUAAAGAAUACUCUGUCUCUCCCUUUUCAUCUUCCAUGAUUGGCAGUGGCAUCCCUAUAAAAGUCCAGCGAUGAUCCCGGAGUGGACGAGACAUAAGCCUGUUGUUUCAUGAGCGUUCUUGCAUCAAGAACUUGAAGCGACAUGUCCAGACCGGAACUAAAAAUAAUCAUAAGUUCUUUUAAUCUUAAACACAUGCAAUAAUUCCACGAAUGUUAUCUGAGUAUAAAUGUUUCUACCUCGUUGAAACAUCAUUC